CCAACAUUUGAUUAAAAACAUCGAUUUAUCGUUAAAAACCUGGAUUUAAGGCGGUUAAAAACCCUGAUUAUUGUUGUCAGGUUUCAUCCUCUGAUCGUGGAGGAUCAGUUUCCUGUCUCUCUAUGAUAAACAAACACAUCAGCCCCUCACUCUCUGUAUUUUAAUAUUUGAGGGUAAAACUCUGAACACGGUUUGGACUCGUGUUUCUUUCAUCAGUCCAACAUUUGAUUAAAAACAUGGAUUUAUCGUUAAAAAACUUGAUUUAAGGCGGUUAAAAACCCUGAUUAUUGUUGUCAGAUUUCAUCCUCUGAUGGUGGAGGAUCAGUUUCCUGUCUCUCUAUAAUAAACAAACACAUCAGCCCCUCACUCUCUGUAUUUUUUUAUAUUUGAGGGUAAAACUCUGAACACGGUUUUGGACUCGUGUUUCUUUCAUCAGUCCAACACAUCUCCGUCUGCUAACAUCUGCUGCCUUCAUGUAAUCUGCCGGUGCCACGCUGAGUUUAAAGACGCUCAUUUUUCUGAAGCUGCAGAUCCGACAAACAGGAAGCUCCAGAGACCCCCCCCCAAAGAUUAACUAAUCAACCAGCCAAUUAAAUUCAUGAAGUUCCCCUUUAAUAAAACUGCAGCAGCUGAGGUGUUUCUCCAGACGACCUACAAACUCAUGAAUUCACCUUCUUGGAUCUACACAGAUGGACAGAAGAAGACCGGACUGUUCCAAAAACCAGAA